rnacentral:misc_RNA from 1 species
UGGAAUCUCCACACAAUCCUAUACGGGCUCCUGUAUCUUGUCCCAACUCCCUCUAUGCCGGGCUUACUUUGAGGAUAUUUUCGUUAUUUUCUUAAACACUCAACCAUUUUUCGUCCCCACCGACCAGUGUUCGUACUCUUGCUGAGAAGUAAGAGGAUUUUUACAGUCUACAAAUUACAUGGAUACUCUGGAUAUGUAUAAUUAUCAUCCUCGGGAUUAUGAGGUAAGGGCUCACCCGGAACCGGAAAUGGCCAGAAACAAAAGGUUAAGCACCCCCGGGUACUUCACGAGCACCAAGGGUCACUCAGUGUUGAGAAAUAAAUGGGGGUAUGGAGGGAGGGCCAUGUCACCUGUAGAUGACCUCUACCUAUCAGACGUCUACCGUCCCAGGAAUACAUCAUAUUAUGACACUACAGGGACGGAGAACGAGAUACGGAGAAACGUCAACCGCGAGCUUCUCUUUUCGUCACACGCUGCAGAUGAUGCAUUCGACGUAGCGGCCAAAUCCAGAAAUAGAGACCAAGAAAUUCUCAGAGAGGCCACUAACGCAAUCGUGAACACUGAGACCCAUGCCAGUCCAAAAGCUGCAGUGGCGGCCAGGCGUGCACGAUCCCAUAGCCACUUCACGUACCACCACCCAACGGCCGCUCCCAAGUCCUACCUACCACCACCUAAGACCACCACCAUCUCUACUCCCUCAUACUCCUAUGUCCGACGACCGAGGAAAGAGGUAGUAGUAGUAUCUUCCUUGUCACGUCCUCGACCUGCUUCCGCCACGGACUCAUUCUACAGAGUCUAUACCAAGAGGGCGGCCAUGGCUGACUGGUAUCCCAGUAGUAUUCCGACUAUCCCACACUACAAUCCCUGGUGGCGUUACUACACCGCCGCGAACCAGCUAAACCACAGCUAUUACCCGAUCAGGUCGCCACGUGUGAUCAAAACCGUCUGUGGUCCGAAAGUUUCCUCGGCAAUCGAGAUGUAUUCUAAUUAUUUUUCGGUGUUCCCUUCAAGAUUCGUGUAUCCGGCACGCUACAGGUUGUACGAUUAUGAUUACCCAGCUUUCCAUCGGAAGACUGCACGGUUUCUGGCCAUACCUCUUGUGUACAAACGAAAAUACGUCGGAAAGGCCGCUCUAGUGGGAAGCAGGGUCGACGUUGUUACACCAAAAAGCCGUAAACCCAAGUCGGAAUAUGCUGCCAAGGUUAUACGCAGAAUUAGGAAGGAAGAGAGGGAUCAGACUGUCCCCGAGGAUGUCACGGUUUCAGUGAAGUCCACAUCCAAGCCAGUUUCAACAACGUCUACAAGAGGAGGGAAAGCUAUACGAGCAGUUGAUGGGUAUACUCAACCCAAAAAUAUUUUGUCUUGGCAGUAUCGUAUUGAUUCACGCGUGGACCCGGAGGACGUCAUCCAAAUGCCGAAAACGUAUGAAGCCGUGAGAAAACAAAUGAAAGAUGUCCAAUGCAGGAUGGACAAACAUCGCCAGCUAAUGGACAGGUACCUAGAGCCAGAUUUGAAACCCGAAACCGAGGACGUAAAGAGUAAAAUUAUGAAUUUGUACGUGGAUAUGGAGCAGAGAAACCCCUCUCUUUUCAGGGCAACUGGAGAAAGCGUUACGUCGUCAUCAACUGAACAUAGGGAAAUUUCUACUUCGGUACGAGCAACUUCUGUACGUCCGCCGCCUGUCCUAACUAUGGUUGAGAUUGACCUUGAUGACCUCUGAUAAUCCGAAAAUGCGCGCAUCAGAGGGGAACGUGUAUUAGUUUUAACCCUGCCAUCCAGUAUCAUCGAGAUGACAGCGAAUUUCCCCCAAUGUCUGACGUACGUAGACGUGUACGAAGCGUGAUUCGCAAGAACAAGAGGGCUGCCUCAGUCCUUUAGUACAACUGGAGGUCAAUCUUAGGUACAAAUGGGAGGGACUAGAGUUCGGAUGAUAAAUUCUUGAGAGUCGAUGUUGCUGGCGUUUCUCUUUGAAAAUGGUCUCGAGGCUACACAGACAUAAUUCUGAAAUAUUUUCAUACCUUUUCUUUUUGAUGCGCUUUAAAUGGGUCGAACUACAACGCGGUACAGUGAUUGGUACAUAAUGUCUGCAUGAAGCAGACACGGGAUCCGCGAGGAGUCAAGCUGCCAAUCAUAUCAGUCUACGGGAGCUACUUGUGAGCAAGGCAUAGUCUUUCACAAUGAAUUAUGGGACUUAUUUAAUAUCAUCAACAAUAAUGGUUGUGGUGCGGUCGUCAACAGAAAUAUCAAGAUUCGAAAAGAUGGAAAUGGAUUCAUCGAAAAUAUUUUAGGAAUUGACAAACAUUCAGGAGUUGUCGAACGUGUGUUAAUAAACCACCUAGCCAGUGAAAAGUCUACAGAUCAUUUCUGACAAUGAAUUCACUUGUUCCUGUGCUUUAGGAAAUGAUCAGCAAGAUGUACAUUAAUUAUGCUUACUAUCCCUCUCGUUUGUGUACAAAGUUUUAUUUUAUUAUUGUGUGUAAAAUUCUCCAAUUCAUUACUAUACCUGAAUUGAACUGCCACAAAGCCACAUUGUGAUAAACAACAUUGUCUUUUUGUUUGAACUUUAUAUGAUAACAGACUCAUUUAUUUUAUAUACCAAUAAUGGUUAUGUGUUGGCAUCGUUGGUAUGAACGUGGUUAUCACCAAUAUUUUUGUAUUUGAGAUACAAGAGGAAUAUCAGAUGUACAUAAACCAUUGUUUAGAUCAGUAUAGGUAUGGGUAUAAAACUAAUUUAUUAUUAUUUAAAUAAGAUUACGUUUCUUUUACUAUUUUGUGUUUAUUAAUUUAACUGAUCAAAGAUAUACAGCAUAAUAUGAAUUGUAUAUCCUGCUUAAGGUGCGGUUUGUUCUAGAAAUGGAGAAAUGUACGUAAUUUCAUGAUAUUGUUUACAUUAUUAUUAAUUUAGCUACAUAAAAAAUGUGAACGCCCUCGAA